UCUACCUCCUCACAGUGGGGCGGUCGACAGCUACCAGAGGGUGUGGGUCGCAGACAGAGGAAACAAGCGCAUCCAGGUGUUUAACUUGGUGACGGGUGACUGGCUCGGCUCGUGGGGCAGCUGUUUUAAAGUGGACGCACCGUACUCCGUCAGACUCACACCAGACCAGAAGUACAUAAAGACCAAUUAGGUGACGCUGCUGGAGGCUCCGCCCAUCGGGAUUAUCAGUCAGUGUCAGGUGACCAGCAGCAUCCAGCUGGCCGAGGACUUCAAGCCGCACCUGGUGGAUGUGGAUCAGAAGAGCGCGGCGCUGUAUGUGGCGGAAAUCGGGGCCAAUCAG